CAACCGGGUUCAAGUAAUCCAGGAUAGGCUCUGUAUCUGUCUUGGCCUAUGCUUGAUUACUUGCUCUUGGAGG
rnacentral:pre_miRNA from 13 species